rnacentral:RNase_P_RNA from 1 species
GGAGCCGGAGAGAGGGUCGCUGUACCGCACGGUUUCGGCCGCGACGGUACAGAGGAAAGUCCGGACUCCAAAGGGCAGUGCGCUGGGUAACGCCCAGGCGGGGUGACCCGACGGAAAGUGCAACAGAGAGCAGACCGCCAACGGCCGGCGCUCGCGCCGGCACGGGCAAGGGUGAAACGGUGGGGUAAGAGCCCACCAGCAUCUGGCAACCGGGGUGGCUCGGUAAACCCCGCACGGAGCAAGGCCAAAUAGGGGAGCGCUGGUGUGGCCCGCGCCGCUCCCGGGUAGGCCGCUCGAGGCGGCGGGUGACCGCCGUCCCAGAUGAAUGACCCUCCUCCCCUGCGGGAGAACAGAAUCCGGCUUAUGACCGGCUUCGCUC